rnacentral:sRNA from 1 species
GCUGGGUGCGGUGGUGCACACCUGCGAUCCCAGAAGCUCAGGAGGCUGAGACAGGAGGAUCCUGAGUUCAAAGCCAUCAUCAGCAACUUAGCAAGGCCCUAAGCAAUUCAUCAAGACCCUGUCUCUA